UUGUUCACGGGUCUGUCACUUUCUCACCCUCAAACCACAGUGAAACCUAAUCUUCCCAACUUUACCGUUGUGAUUUCAAGAAAGAAAAGAACAAAAAAACUUUACCGUUGUGUUCCCCGCGCCGGCGCAUAUUUAUAUAAGAGGAACAUCCACGACCAGAUUUUGAAAAAUCAAAAAUAGUGCAGAAGAAAAGCAAGAGGGCGCUCACAUUGACAUGCCCUUCUUUUUUAACAGCGGCGUUUUUGAACAUCGUCUCAGACGUCCGGCCGCCUCCGCCGACUGCCCUCAGCCUCGAUCUGUUCUUUCUUAAGGUCUCGAUUUGUUAUUUCAAGGUUCUUGAAUUUCAAUUACACAUGGGCUCUACUGUAUGUCUUGGAUUACGACUGCAGUCUGCGGACAAGUGUCUGGGACUUACAUACAAGGAUGCUGGUGUGGACAUUGUUGCUGGAUCAGAACUUGUUCAGAGAAUAGGCAAGAUGGCUCUCUGAAUUGGAGGUUUUGAAGGCUUUUCCCUUUGGGGGAUUCGUAUAGAGAUGGAGUGGGAACGAAACUUAUAUUGGGUUUAGGGACUCGAUUCGACGAGACUACUGGCAUUGAAUUGGAGAACCUGCAGGCUUUGGAUUGGAUUGUCAUCUUUGUCCGCUGGCUGAUCUUCCCUACCAUUAGGUUGGGAAAGAAUGCAAUGCCGUCACUGAAGUCUCGCUGAAACCCAUAUUUAUUUGCAAGUUUGUUUCUAAUUGCAUUAAAAUUGUGAAAUUGUUCGAUAGGUUUUGGGUCCCACAACCCAUUGACUAGGUAAGGUGAGUAUUUAUUUAUUGGUGAAUUUCUAUCCGUACAUAUAAAGUGAAAUUUUAAGAGAUUUUCAAAUAAAAAUUGGACCAUAUUGAACUAAUGUUGGAGGUGAUAUCUGGUUUUCUUUAGCCCUAACACAUAUAGCGUUCAAUUAGCAAAGGGCAUCACCCUACCUGAUACAUCAUUCUCCACAUGCAUUAAAGCGAAGCAUAUAAGUUAGUAUAGGUUAGAGUUUGAAUUGGGUUUGCCAAUUAGGUGCAAACUAGAUAACCUCAUAUGGAUAAGAAUUGUGUGGGAAUUUGUUGACAUUUUAGAACCUAAUGGUAGCCUUACGUAUCUUCAUAGUCUUCUCUUCAAGUUUCUAACUGAAAAGCAACCAACGGCCCCUAUCAAUUCUUCUUUGCUGAUUUUUCUCCUAUAUUUUGGAAUCAAGAAUGGUUGAGACCAUUGAUUUUAUACUUUGUAUAAUUCAAACCUAAAAUUUGCUGCUCUGAUUUCUUUGGAAAGCCGUGCUUUCUCCAUUCUGGUUUGGAAAGUAUGGGAUUAGGGAUUUUUUAGGCUGCUCAAAAAUGUGAAUGAUGCAAGUAUAGAGUUGAGACCUUAAUGAGAGAACAAAUACCUCAU